rnacentral:rRNA from 1 species
UACGUAGGUGGCAAGCGUUAUCCGGAAUUAUUGGGCGUAAAGCGCGCGCAGGCGGUUUCUUAAGUCUGAUGUGAAAGCCCACGGCUCAACCGUGGAGGGUCAUUGGAAACUGGGGAACUUGAGUGCAGAAGAGAAAAGCGGAAUUCCACGUGUAGCGGUGAAAUGCGUAGAGAUGUGGAGGAACACCAGUGGCGAAGGCGGCGACCUGGGUCGAUACUGACGCUGAUGCGCGAAAGCGUGGGGAGCAAACAGG